AACGCGAAGAACCUUACCAAGGUUUGACAUGCAGGGAAAAGCCGUAGAGAUACGGUGUCCGUAAGGGUCCUGCACAGGUGGUGCAUGGCUGUCGUCAGCUCGUGUCGUGAGAUGUUGGGUUAAGUCCCGCAACGAGCGCAACCCUCGUCCUAUGUUGCCAGCGGGUAAUGCCGGGGACUCAUAGGAGACUGCCGGGGUCAACUCGGAGGAAGGUGGGGAUGACGUCAAGUCCUCAUGCCCCUUAUGUCUUGGGCUGCAAACAUGCUACAAUGGCCAGUACAAAGGGUUGCGAGACCGCAAGGUGGAGCGAAUCCCAAAAAGCUGGUCUCAGUUCGGAUUGGGGUCUGCAACUCGACCCCAUGAAGUCGGAGUCGCUAGUAAUCGCAGAUCAGCAACGCUGCGGUGAAUACGUUCCCGGGCCUUGUA
rnacentral:rRNA from 1 species